GACGAACGCUGGCGGCGUGCUUAACACAUGCAAGUCGAACGGAAAGGCCCUGCUUUUGUGGGGUGCUCGAGUGGCGAACGGGUGAGUAACACGUGAGUAACCUGCCCUUGACUUUGGGAUAACUUCAGGAAACUGGGGCUAAUACCGGAUAGGAGCUCCUGCUGCAUGGUGGGGGUUGGAAAGUUUCGGCGGUUGGGGAUGGACUCGCGGCUUAUCAGCUUGUUGGGGGGGUAGUGGCUUACCAAGGCUUUGACGGGUAGCCGGCCUGAGAGGGUGACCGGCCACAUUGGGACUGGGGUACGGCCCAGACUCCUACGGGCGGCAGCAGUGGGGAAUAUUGCACAAUGGGCGGAAGCCUGAUGCAGCAACGCCGCGUGCGGGAUGACGGCCUUCGGGUUGUAAACCGCUUUCGCCUGUGACGAAGCGUGAGUGACGGUAAUGGGUAAAGAAACACCGGCUAACUACGU
rnacentral:rRNA from 1 species